UCUUUUUUAUAUGUUCUUUCGAACUGUAUCCCCUCCUCGGAUACCGUUGGAAACCUGUUGUGUUGCUUUGCUCUCAUCUCCACCACGAAACCAAAGAUCUAUGGCGGGCGACAUUUCACUCACUUUUAUUUUCAAACGCGCUUCGAUUCGCCUUUAGGAACGCACUUGCGCUGUCAUUGGCGCUCACAUGCCAUCUUUCUCCCAACUUUGCCCAAUUUACUUUAAGCCGCCAUGUUCAUCACUAAGGGAGAAGAUUCAAAUACGAAGCUAGAUCGAGGAAAGGAAAAAGUUCGGGAUUAGUAGAUUUUUUUUGUUUACAAACAAGUAUCAAGUGUUAAGAGCUCGAAGGUCGGAUUUGGUCAGAAACACAUCACACUAUCAACCUCAGGAUUUCGGUAUAUAAAGAAACUUUAUUUUGGAAAUCAAUGGCAUGUAUAAGCUAAUAAAGUAAAUGUUAACGUGAAAUGAAUGUAAAGUUAGCCAUUAGUAUGGUUAACAAACUUGGUUUUGGGUAUGUGAUGACGUUAUUUUAUAAAUAUGCAUGAAUUUAUCUUGAAAA